GCCAUUUUGUCUUGGUUGCUGGUUCUUCAUAACUUUUAUUUGGUUCCAAUUUGGCCUAGGUAGCUAAUUCUACAUAGCUAUAUAUACUAAUUAAUCGCAUGACUUCCUUCUUUUUAGGGCAGGCAGUUGGUACUAACAUUACCAUGCAAUGUUUCAUUUUUGUUUAGUCCCCCUAGCACAUUCAUCAAAGAGAAGAUAAACCAAACAAACUUUUGAGACUGCAUUUUUUAGCCAUGCCCCUUAAUCUUUAAUGUACUUUUUGUUUUUCAAUUUAAACUUCUAAGGGCGUCUUAGUUAUCGUUGGUGUCUUCUGUUUCUUUUAAGGGAAAAAAAAAGUACAAUACAUUUGGCAAGACAAGUUGUGUUUAUUUUCUAACCACUUAUCUCACAACAUUUCUCAAAUUGAAAAACAAUAAAGAGGAAACCAAAAAUGAUGAUUUCCAUGUUAUUGCUGCUACUUUAAAAAUAUGAACAGCAACUACUCUAUAAUCCUUUUUCUCUCAACAAUCUCCACCCUAUUUGAUUGUUUCUCGUUAAUUCCCCCUUUGUCUUCCUUCUCUUUAGGUUAUUCUACAUCACUGAUACCUUAAUCCAUCAUAUCUAGUACUCCUUUUAUUUUUCCUUUGAUUGCAUAAAAGUUGGCUCUGUUGCCAUGGAUCUGGGUAAUGUAAAAAUCAUGAAUCUACAGCUAGAUGACCAUGGGAAACAUGAAAUUAAUGGGUUUCUCCCUAAACUCAUAAAAGUGUUGAUGGCUAUGAUGCAGAAAUAGGAUAUUACUAAUAAAAGUGAUUUUAGGUAAUAGUUGG
rnacentral:misc_RNA from 1 species